GAGUGUUACAUUUCUUUUAGAAUUUGUCUAGCAGGCUUUCCAGUUUUUGUCGGAAAGUCCCU
rnacentral:snRNA from 1 species